rnacentral:rRNA from 1 species
CAAGUCGAACGAGAACGGGGGCAACCCCUAGUACAGUGGCGCAAGGGCGAGGAAUAAAUUCCUACGUGCCCCGAGGUCGGGGAUACCUCGGAGAAAUCCGAAUCAAUACCCGAUGUGGUCCGCAAGGAUCAAAGGUUUACUGCCUUGGGAGCGGGGAAUUUCCUAUCAGGUUGUUGGUGGGGUAAUGGCCUACCAAGCCUAAGACGGGUAGCGGGUGUGAGAGCACGGCCCGCCGCAUCGAGACUGAGACACUGCUCGGACUCCUACGGGAGGCUGCAGUAACGAAUCUUCCGCAAUGCGCGAAAGCGUGACGGGGCAAUGCCGCGUGUGGGAUGAAGCCCUUCGGGGUGUAAACCACUGUCAGGGUUUAGGAAAAAAAUGACCAUACCCAAAGGAAGCACCGGCUAACUCUGUGCCAGCAGCCGCGGUAAUACAGAGGGUGCAAGCGUUAAUCGGAAUCACUGGGCUUAAAGCGUUCGUAGGCGGGCUUGAAGGCGCCUUGUGAAAUCCCCCGGCUCAACCGGGGAAUUGCUCGGCGAACCGCAGGCCUUGAGUCAAGUAGAGGCACCUGGAACGAUAGGUGGAGCGGUGAAAUGCGUAGAUAUCUAUCGGAACGCCAAAUGUGAAGACAGGGUGCUGGGCUUGUACUGACGCUGAGGAACGAAAGCGUGGGGAGCAAACGGGAUUAGAUACCCCGGUAGUCCACGCCGUAAACGAUGCGCACUACGUCGGGGAGGCUGACGCCCUCCUGGCCGAAGAAAAAUUGAUUAGUGCGCCGCCUGGGGAGUACGGUCGCAAGGCUAAAACUCAAAGGAAUUGACGG